AUAGCUAAUUCGUAAUUCGUUUUUUGUCAUGUGGUGUGUUCAUGUAUGUAACUAAGAAGUGACAUGCUGUUAUACAGUUAUAUAAAGGUGAAUCUGUUUUAAUUCUAGUUGUCCAGCUACAGAUUAAGAUGCUUAGUAUGAUUAAUCAUCCUCUGUUGUCAUGGACGAACCUGGAGAUGUGUUAUGGAGGAGGAAAAAACAAAAAAGACUCAUCUGAUGAGAAACCACUGCAAGAAUCUCAUCCUGUUCACACAAGUCUGUGCAGCAUGCAUGUAUCAGCAUUUUUUGUGACCAGUGACUUCUCUUCUGAGGGGCGUGAAUUCCAAAUAUGUGUUUGUUGUGACGUGUGUGAACCAUGUGCAUCAUGCCUCUUGUCACAAUACGUGCCUGCUGCACACGCGUUGAAAAGGUUUAUGAUAAAAGAAGCACUCAUGUUCACAAAAUACUCGCAAGACACUAACUUGACACUAAACUGUGAUUACACAGGAGAUUAAGUAAGUAUCAGGCAAACGUGAGCGUAUCUUUUAUCAUAAACCCUUUACAUGCGUGUGCAGCAGAUUUUGACAUCACGUGUGAUGCACAUAAGUUUACAUGACGCGCUGAACACAUAUUUUGAAAUGACAAGCAACACACAUGACGAGCUCAAUGCAUGUGACCAGCUUCGCAACGUGUGCCCUCGAAAAAAGUCACCGGCCGACACUGACCCAGAUCAUCAAGAUGUUAAAGCUGUUUGGGCUUCAGAGCAUCUUGUCAGCACCUUCUUCCACCAUGUACACAAUUUCUACCAUCGUGAAGGCGUGGCAGAAUGAGAGAUUUGCAGUCACCACAGGCUCUACGAGAAUGCAGCACUGUCCUGUCUUCCACUACACCUGCUCCCCUCUCCAGAGCCAUCCAGAGGAUCAACAAGGAUGAAGCUGUUGGGAUCUAUUAAUCACAGCAUUCACAAUUUAACACACUUCAACACAUUAUUAUAAUACCCGCACAUAUGAUGGAAAGAUACAAAUUUUUUUUUAAAUGUUUUUAAAUGGGUCAGAUUGUAUAUCUUUCUUUCGGUGCUACAUAAAUAAAACUAAAUCGAAUUACAAAUGCAGAUCUACUUUGUAUAUAUCUGAUCUAAACUUCAUAAACCAGUUUUUAUACGGUAAGACAAUUUGUGAUUAUUGUUUAUUGAUUGUCACAAAAUGGGGGUAUUCAAACCAUUUAUAAAGUCCUCCUUCCUCUGGAACCUGUCCUCGAAUGGCUGACACAUGCAGGUAAGGGCGCCUGCACAGAAUUCCUUAGACGCCCAGCGGAUAACUUGCCUAUGCUGUAUUUAGUGGUAUUGUCUGGAGAUGGGAAAACUAUUAAUAUUGUUAAUUUGAAUAUUGACUAGUGCCAGCAAAAAUUGUGACUUAGUCAUGACCUAUAGGCAACUUGUAAUUAAAACAAAUUCAUUAAGAUUGUUUUAAAACAAAUUUAUUAAGAUUGUUUUAACAUUCAAAUCUUUAGUUUACUG